GUGUCAGCAGCCGCGGUAAUACGUAGGGACCAAGCGUUGUUCGGAUUUACUGGGCGUAAAGGGCGCGUAGGCGGCUUGCCAAGUCACUUGUGAAAUCUCUGGGCUUAACCCAGAACGGCCAAGUGAAACUGGCAUGCUAGAGUGCAGAAGGGGCAAUCGGAAUUCUUGGUGUAGCGGUGAAAUGCGUAGAUAUCAAGAGGAACACCUGAGGUGAAGACGGGUUGCUGGGCUGACACUGACGCUGAGGCGCGAAAGCCAGGGGAGCAAACGGGAUUAGAAACCCGCGUAGUCC
rnacentral:rRNA from 1 species